AACGAACGCUGGCGGCAUGCCUAACACAUGCAAGUCGAACGAAGCCUUCGGGCUUAGUGGCGCACGGGUGCGUAACGCGUGGGAAUCUGCCUCUUGCUUCGGAAUAACAGUUAGAAAUGACUGCUAAUACCGGAUGAUGUCUUCGGACCAAAGAUUUAUCGGCAAGAGAUGAGCCCGCGUAGGAUUAGGUAGUUGGUGGGGUAAAGGCCUACCAAGCCGACGAUCCUUAGCUGGUCUGAGAGGAUGAUCAGCCACACUGGGACUGAGACACGGCCCAGAAUCCUACGGGAGGCAGCAGUGGGGAAUAUUGGACAAUGGACGCAAGUCUGAUCCAGCAAUGCCGCGUGAGUGAUGAAGGCCUUAGGGUUGUAAAGCUCUUUUACCAGGGAUGAUAAUGACAGUACCUGGAGAAUAAGCUCCGGCUAACUCCGUGCCAGCCGCCGCCGUAAAAC
rnacentral:rRNA from 1 species